CGCUGAAGAGGACAGGGAACGGGAACUCCUCUCGUUCUAUAAACAGCAGCAAGAAUGGGCAUGUCCACUUCAUUGUACUCUUGCUGGUGAUGUUGCUGUCGGAGAGGGAGUGAAGCGGUACUUUCUGACGACAAUAAUUUCCAACCUCCAAUUUGGAUUCAGACUAGAUCUUGGAGGAAUGGGCCGAACUGCUAUUUGAGGGUGAACCUGACCAUCUUGUUCCAG